rnacentral:rRNA from 1 species
GGGUCAGUAGGUUGGUCGUGCCACCGGUACGUACUGGUCUCACUGAUUCUUCCUUCCUGAAGAACCGUAAUGCCAUUAAUUUGGUGUUGCGGGGAAACAGGACUGUUACUUUGAAAAAAUUAGAGUGUUUAAAGCAAGCUAACGCUUGAAUACAUUAGCAUGGGAUAAUGAAAUAGGACGAUCGAUCCUAUUUUGUUGGUUUCUAGGAUUGACGUA